UGGGGGAUAUUGCACAAUGGGCGAAAGCCUGAUGCAGCGACGCCGCGUGGGGGAUGAAGGCUUUCGGGUUGUAAACCUCUUUCGCUAUCGAACAAGGCCCGCUUAGGGUGGGUUGAGGGUAGGUGGAGAAGAAGCGCCGGCUAACUACGUGCCAGCAGCCGCGGUAAUACGUAGGGCGCGAGCGUUGUCCGGAAUUAUUGGGCGUAAAGGGCUUGUAGGCGGCUUGUUGCGCCUGCUGUGAAAACGCGGGGCUUAACUUCGCGCGUGCAGUGGGUACGGGCAGGCUUGAGUGUGGUAGGGGUGACUGGAAUUCCAGGUGUAGCGGUGGAAUGCGCAGAUAUCUGGAGGAACACCAUGGCGAAGGCAGGUCACUGGGCCAUUACUGACGCUGAGGAGCGAAAGCAUGGGUAGCGAACAGG
rnacentral:rRNA from 1 species